GAGACGCAGGUUUUGUUUAUUUUGGGAAAAAUUAUUAUCAGAAAAAAAACCACCCGAUUGGUUCUUGCGAGUCUUGAGUCGAACAGGCGAUACAGUUGAAUGACCACGACGACCUUACGAUCAUGAGCAAAUCAAAAAAACUAAAAAGGUUCUGUGGAAAAAAGAACACACAGCACAAAAAUGUGAAUAUGUAUACAUUUU